AUACGGAGGGUGCAAGCGUUACUCGGAAUCACUGGGCGUAAAGCGCGCGCAGGCGGUUUGAUAAGUUGGAUGUGAAAUCCUAUGGCUCAACCAUAGAACUGCAUCCAAAACUGUCAAACUAGAGUCUGGGAGAGGAAGAUGGAAUUAGUUGUGUAGGGGUAAAAUCCGUAGAGAUAACUAGGAAUACCAAAAGCGAAGGCGAUCUUCUGGAACAGUACUGACGCUGAGGCGCGAAAGCGUGGGGAGCAAACAGGAUUAGAAACCCGGGUAGUCC
rnacentral:rRNA from 1 species